GUCCCCAUCGUCUAGCCGGCCCAGGACAUCGCCCUUUCACGGCGGUAACGGGGGUUCGAAUCCCCCUGGGGACGCCA
rnacentral:tRNA from 1 species